UUGGUGAAUGCAAGGAUAUACAGUGCUGCAAAUAUGCAUUUUUUGGCUGGAAUCGGGAUAAAAGGGCACCUUUUUGUCCCAUGUUUUUGGCCAUUGUAAUGAUUCAGUGUGCAUUUAGCAGUAACGUUAUGUAGCCACCCCCCUUUUAAACUCAGGAAAUCCCGUGUUUAAGUGCUGUGUAAUUAGGCUCUCAAGGAACCAGAACACACAAGUAAUUGUUAUGUGAUGCUCAGGAGAAAAUGUGGAGGGAGAAAAUAAAAUGAAAUCCAAAAAUAUAAACCACAUGUGUACAGAAUGGAAAGAGAAAUGCACUAUUCAAGUGCUUUUGUCAUACUAUCUACACCCAGUCCCUCCUUGGAGAUGGAUGAAGGACAACACGGAGUUACGGUUUUCCCCUCAAAUAUAUAUUUAUAUUAAUAUGUGGCUGAGCAGAAGCAUUUCUAUAAAGAAAGUUGAAAGUUUGAAAGUUGCAGUCUAAAAUCAUUAAAGUAGAACUAUUGAACUAAUUGUAUAGCUAUGAGAAUAUAUAAGGAAGUCAAUCUGAUUAAAUGAAUCUACUUUAAUCAGGACUAAAAUAG